AAGCGUGCGCAGGCGGUAAUGUAAGACAGAUGUGAAAUCCCCGGGCCUCAACCUGGGAACUGCAUUUGUGACUGCAUUGCUGGAGUGCGGCAGAGGGGGAUGGAAUUCCGCGUGUAGCAGUGAAAUGCGUAGAUAUGCGGAGGAACACCGAUGGCGAAGGCAAUCCCCUGGGCCUGCACUGACGCUCAUGCACGAAAGCGUGGGGAGCAAACAGGAUUAGAUACCCCGGU
rnacentral:rRNA from 1 species